rnacentral:rRNA from 1 species
GUUCCCGGGUCUUGUACACACCGCCCGUCACACCAUGAGAGCCGGUAACACCCGAAGCCCGUGAGGUAACCGUAAGGAGCCAGCGGUCGAAGGUGGGAUUGGUGAUUGGGGUGAAGUCGUAACAAGGUAGCCGUAGGAGAACCUGCGGCUGGAUCACCUCCUUUCUAGGGAGAAUGGAA